AUGGCGGAGAAUCACUGAGAGCUGC
rnacentral:piRNA from 1 species